UCAGGUAGCCCUGGACAAUCCUGUUGCAACAGUGGAUCAGAGUACAAUUGAUAACCUAAUCCUGGACGACGACGAACAACUGGAUAAACUUGAUAACAUAAUCCUGGACAAUACUGCAGCAACGGACUACGAAAAGAGUAAACUUGAUAAUGUAAGU